rnacentral:rRNA from 1 species
CUACGUAGGGUGCAAGCGUUGUCCGGAAUUAUUGGGCGUAAAGAGCUCGUAGGCGGUCUGUCGCGUCUGCUGUGAAAACUCGGGGCUUAACCCCGGGCCUGCAGUGGGUACGGGCAGACUAGAGUGCGGUAGGGGAGACUGGAAUUCCUGGUGUAGCGGUGAAAUGCGCAGAUAUCAGGAGGAACACCGGUGGCGGAAGGCGGGUCUCUGGGCCGUAACUGACGCUGAGGAGCGAAAGCAUGGGGAGCGAACAGG